rnacentral:lncRNA from 12 species
ACCUCCUGUUUGAGCAAUUUACUAGAUUGCAUGCAAAUAUGUAUUGCUUUGCAACGUGUGUAAGAGGCAGCUCUGCAUUUAUCCAUUCCACAGUGAAUGGAGACAUACCAAGACAUGAAGAAAGGGACUCCAGGGAAUAUGUGAAGACCGUGAUGACAUGGGGAGAGGUGCCUUUCUCUCUGAUUGGACCAAGUGAGGGUGAAGAUGAGACUUCCAAGGCUCUACGUUACAAUGUGGAGACUCCUAGCUGGGUUUAUCCCUCCAACAUGCUAAGUGUCCUGUUUUUGCUGCUCAGCAACUUCCCCUCAUCACUAGGACAUUUUAUCAUCUCAUGUCAUCACAACAACAAGAAGGGUGAGUGCAGCUCAGUAAGAUAAUUUGAGAGAGAGAUCCCAUUCCUAUAACUUUUAUUAUACAGUAUUAUAGUAAUUGUUCCAUUUUAUAAUAAUUGUUAAUAUCAUGCUGUGCCUACUUUAUAGUUAAACUUUAUCAUAGGUAUGUAUGUGUGGGGGAAAAUUCGUAUUAUCCAAGGUUUCAGCCAUCCACUUGGGGUCUUGGAAUGUGUUCUCCAUGGAUGAUGGAGGUGCUCUUCAGCCCUUCUCUCCUCUCAGGGGUCUUCUCAACUAGAGAAGUGUUUCUAUGCUAGGAAGUCAUACUAAGUACCAA